GAUGAAGAACGUAGCGAAAUGCGAUAAGUAAUGUGAAUUGCAGAAUUCAGUGAAUCAUCGAAUCUUUGAACGCACAUUGCGCCCGCCAGUACUCUGGCGGGCAUGCCUGUUCGAGCGUCAUUACAACCCUCAGGCCCCCGGGCCUGGCGUUGGGGAUCGGCGGAAGCCCCCUGCGGGCACAACGCCGUCCCCCAAAUACAGUGGCGGUCCCGCCGCAGCUUCCAUUGCGUAGUAGCUAACACCUCGCAACUGGAGAGCGGCGCGGCCACGCCGUAAAACACCCAACUUCUGAAUGUUGACCUCGAAUCAGGUAGGAAUACCCGCUGAACUUAAGCAUAUCAUAAGCGGAGA
rnacentral:misc_RNA from 1 species